UGGCAACAUGCCUCUGGCUUGGUGCUGAAAUGUCACUCCUAUCAAUUUGACCUUCUGUCAUGAGUCCAGAACAGAACAGCGUCGAUUCUGGAAGCUGCUCUCCCUUCACUUCUUUUGGAUUUCUAUAUCACUCGCCCCAUUGGCCGGCCUCUUUUCUUGUCUUUCUCCUUCGCUCUCCAUAACUUUCUCCAAGUUUCUCCAAAUGUUCCACUCUCCUGCUUCUUUUGCUGACUAUUCUAGCUGGACUUUCCAGAGCUUGUUCUAGGAACAGUUGAGGCAGCACUAUUGGAAAGAGCUGAGAUCCUCACCAAUGGGAGAGGAGAGGGGGAGGGGCAAGCUGCUACCCACGAUGCAUCAGAGGAGGGCGGACUGCCCAACGGCACCACCGGUCCAGUGACGGUCGUCCCCGAAGAUGGUGCCGUUACCAUGAUGUUCCUGGGGUUCACGGAGGCGGAGCCAGGCGAGGCUCCGGUAAUCGAGGAAGGAGGAGUGAUCAUGAUGAGAGCGGAGCGAGUGAUUAUCAAUGACGAGGGAGACGAGCUGGCAAAUGACCUUUCCUCUCCGGGGCAGGAACAGGAAGUAGACUCGGCCGCGUUCAAUAAGAGCUCAGAAUCUCCUGAGGAAGGAGGAAUUGAGGAGGCGAAACCAGAGACAACUCCUGAAGAGUCCUCAGAAGUAGCAAAAGAGACUGAGGCAGACACAGUAACCAGAGGUUUAGGAGAAGGACAGAUGGACACAGUAACCGGAGGUUUAGGAGAAGGACAGAUGGACACAGUAACCGGAGGUUUAGGAGAAGGACAGAUGUACACAGUGACCAGAGAUUUAGGAGAAGGACAGAUGGAGGGUGUGGCAAACGGUGGUGGAGAGGAAGAGGCACAGCCAGUAGAGGAAGCUCCUGUGUCUGAUCUGCAGGCCCCAGAUGAUGGCGUGGUGGCUGCCGUUCCCGUCUACUCUGAGACCUUACUCACCCCCAGGCCCGACGCAGAGGGAGAGGCUGCAGGCGAGCCGGCAGAGGGCGAUGUGGAAGUGAAGACUGAAAUGGAAGUCAAGGGGGAAGAGGAGGCCUCGGUGGCCCCAGAAUCAGCCAUCCUCCCUGGGGGCCAGUUCCUGGAGGUGUCCCUAGUGGAGCCCUGGACUGAGGCAGAGCCUGAGCAGGAGCCCCUGCUGUUCCCAUCCAAGGCCCAGACCCUGGGGGAGCAGGCUCCAGCCGCCCCAGAGACACUGACCGCUACCAGGGGAGAGGCGGAGGGAGGGGUCGGUGUGGCUCCCAAACGCAAGACCUGCCAGUGCUGCUCCGUCAUGUGA
rnacentral:lncRNA from 8 species